AGGACGAACGCUGGCGGCGUGCUUAACACAUGCAAGUCGAGCGGAAAGGCCCUUCGGGGUACUCGAGCGGCGAACGGGUGAGUAACACGUGAGCAACCUGCCCUUGGCUCUGGGAUAGCCUCCGGAAACGGGGAUUAAUACCGGACAUUCACUUUCUCCUGCAUGGGGGGUUGGUGGAAAGUUUUUCGGCCAGGGAGGGGCUCGCGGCCUAUCAGCUUGUUGGCGGGGUAACGGCCCACCAAGGCGACGACGGGUAGCCGGCCUGAGAGGGCGAUCGGCCACACUGGGACUGAGACACGGCCCAGACUCCUACGGGAGGCAGCAGUGGGGAAUAUUGCACAAUGGGCGCAAGCCUGAUGCAGCGACGCCGCGUGGGGGAUGAAGGCCUUCGGGUUGUAAACCCCUUCACCAGGAGCGAAUUCAGACGGUACCUGGGGAAGAAGCGCCGGCUAACUACGCGCCAGCAGCCGC
rnacentral:rRNA from 1 species